UUGACACCCAUCUUUAUCUCUCGCUCUUCUUCCUUAUUCUCUAAAGUUUAACCUAACUGCGCCUCUCUCUUUCUUCUUCUUCCUCUUCUUCUCUUAUACUCGAUUAUGAGCGAAUCUUUGGCAGAUUUUCCCCAAAAGUAGUUUCUUUAUUUCAUUUGUUUGUUUUCCAAUCGUAUUAUUCAGUCAUACAAAAAUUGAAGAGAGAAUUGUUGAGUUAUCUUCCUCUUCAGAGUUUAUAUGACUGAAUUUUACCAAAACCUAACCCCGAAUUCCUCAAAUCACACACACAAUUGUACCUGUUUUAUUAUCUUCUCAACCCAUAGUUGUUCAGAUUUAGCCGUAUAAGGAACCCAAUUUUAGUUUUACCAUCUGAAACCCUACUUUCAUUUUGAUUUUUCCUUAUAAAAGUAGAAGGUGUUUAUUGGUAAUUGAUGGUGUCAUGACUCUUACAAGGUUUCAUUUGGUAUUAGCAUUAUCGAUAGCUUGAUUUAGGUAUAAUGGCUGUUUAUGGAAGUGGAUGGUCUAGGACUCUAGUGCUCAUGCAACUUUCUAUUUGUGGUGUGGUGGUGUUUCUGGUACAACAGCCUGAAAAUCCUGCGGAGCUUGGUGGGAAGAUGAUGUCUAUGGCUCUCUCAGGAAACUGGUCCCUGAUGGAGUCAACAGAGUAACAUGAGCGAUGGUCCGGAGGCUGCUAUGUAAUCGAAUCAGUUGAAGCUGGCUCCGAUCAGAAAUGACGUGACUUGAAUCACUUCCUGGAGGACUACCGGUGCAGAUGUUGUAUGAGUAUUUUCUUGAGGUGUUGGCUUCCUUGUUGGCUUAUUAAUGCUCCAUUUAUGUGGCUAUGCUUUCUACAGUGAUAUGCGCAACAGGAAAUGAGAAGUUUAACAACUAUUGGGAAGCAGAACUAUCCCAAGAGAAUGUUCAGGAAUCUGCACCAUGGACAAGGUAUGAGAUUUCCCAAUUGUCGGCAGGUGAACUUGCACACACAUUGCAUACAUAUGUGAGAACCACAUAGAAAUGUGAUGUCAAUCAGAUAUAUACAAGUUUGGAAAUGUGGAUGACACAUAGACAUAAGUGUUGUGUGCAUAUGUGUUUGUUACAUAAAAACCGGAUACUGGGAUCCAGCAGCACCCAUUUGGUCUUUGCUUUCUGAGUUACAAGUGUUGAUAGAGCAAAGUCGCAAAAUAAUGAAGAUUAUGAUUGCGUGAUUGAUGGAUGUAAGUGCGAUGUUAUGCGAGAGAGAUGGAGUACUUGGAGAUGUUUCAAGUGAUAACAUGAUUAAGUGGUCAAAAGCUUAUGUAACUCGAAGAGCGGCCAAAUUAGAGUGGCAGGGCAACAGUAGACUGAGUUCAGCUUUAAUGUUCGAUAUGUAAGGUAUUAGAGUGGCAGGGUGACGGUAGACUGAACUCGGUUUUAAAGUUCGAUAUGUAAGGUUGCUAGUAUUUAUCUUUCCAUUUGUAUCCAGAGAUUCAAUUUCUUUGAAAAAAAUGAUUAAUAAAGUUAAUUUUAGAUUCAGUUUGAAAUCA